rnacentral:rRNA from 1 species
CGUUGGUGAACCAGCGGAGGGAUCAUUACCGAGUUUACAACUCCCAAACCCCUGUGAACAUACCACUUGUUGCCUCGGCGGAUCAGCCCGCUCCCGGUAAAACGGGACGGCCCGCCAGAGGACCCCUAAACUCUGUUUCUAUAUGUAACUUCUGAGUAAAACCAUAAAUAAAUCAAAACUUUCAACAACGGAUCUCUUGGUUCUGGCAUCGAUGAAGAACGCAGCAAAAUGCGAUAAGUAAUGUGAAUUGCAGAAUUCAGUGAAUCAUCGAAUCUUUGAACGCACAUUGCGCCCGCCAGUAUUCUGGCGGGCAUGCCUGUUCGAGCGUCAUUUCAACCCUCAAGCACAGCUUGGUGUUGGGACUCGCGUUAAUUCGCGUUCCUCAAAUUGAUUGGCGGUCACGUCGAGCUUCCAUAGCGUAGUAGUAAAACCCUCGUUACUGGUAAUCGUCGCGGCCACGCCGUUAAACCCCAACUUCUGAAUGUUGACCUCGGAUCAGGUAGGAAUACCCGCUGAACUUAAGCAUAUCAAAAUGGGAAGAGAGAAUC